rnacentral:lncRNA from 1 species
AUGCUCACAAACCAAAACCGGGAAGGUUCUGGGGAGUUCAGAAAAGUAUCAUCUAAUAAUAAAAUCACUUUAUCCCAGGAAAGCAACCACACAGCAAAGAGAUGGACGCCACUCGCAGGAAAAUUAAGACUUCUGCAGUUCCGGGUGGAGGGGGGAGACACGGACCCCCUCGUGUUUCACAGCCUCCGGGUACCCCCCGCCCGGCCCGGCCCACCCCGGCGGGGCCCGCCCGACCCGUUCCCCCGAGCGGCGGGGAAGGAGGCGCCGCCGGCCCUGCCCUCACCGCCGCAGCAAGGCCGUGCCGGCGGCGGGCAGCGCCCGUGGCCCCGCGCAAGGACUCGCCGUGGCAGCGCGGGCGCGACGCGCUCUCCCUCCCUCGGCGGCGCUGCCCUUGGCGAAGAUGGCAGGCGAGCGCGAGCCUUCCCGGCUGCCUCGGGUCCCGCCCCCAGCCAACAUGGCGGCAGGGCAGUCACUCAGCAGCAGCGGGCGAGCACCGCUGAUGUCAGAGGGGGAGCGCGGCGGGGCGCGCCCGCCGACGGGCAGGCCGGGACCCGCUUCCGGGCUCUCCCGCGUUUCACGCACAUGCCGUUUCACCCCCGGGGCGCUAAGGCGACAGCAGAGCCGUGCCGCGGCGCGCCCUCCCGCCGCUGGCGCGUCCGCAGAGAGCGCAGAAGCGGCGUGCUCCUGCCGCGCAGUCCCGGCGGCGCUGCCUCGCCGCGGGCAGGUGGGGGGCGCGCUGGGACGGGCGCUUCUCCUGCCCGUAACAAAGAUGGCCACCCGCGCCCUCUGCCCCGAGCCCUAGCCCGGCCGGUCCAGGCAGUUGCGGGAGGCUCCUCCGGGGCCGCUCUUSGCCGGCCGGGGCCGCCGCUCCCCGCGCACGGAGCGGUGGUCUCUGCGCGCUGCCCGCCGCCGCAUGGCCGAGGCUGCCGGCUCCCCGCGUCGCCCCGCCGCCGCGGGCAGGUGCGUGGCGAGAGCCCGCUGGCGGCUGCUCGGACAGGUAGGGGGAGCCCGCGGCAGCGGAGCGGGGGGGCUCUGCCUGGAGGCGCUGUCGUCCCGCCUCCCCCCGUCCCGUUGCGACGCGAGGGGAGGCGGCCGGGUCGGGUGGCCGCCGGCCCGGAGGGAGGCGGCGGUUGGGGGCAACCGUCUUCCGCCCCUCCGCGCGCGGCUGGCGCGCCCUCGAGCCGGCGCUAA